rnacentral:rRNA from 1 species
AGUCACUGACAUUAGAUACCCCCGUAGUCCCAGCCGUAAACAAUGUGCGUUAGGUGUGUCGGUAACCACGCGUUACUGAUGCGCCGAAGAGAAAUCGUGAAACGCACCACCUGGGAAGUACGGUCGCAAGGCUGAAACUUAAAGGAAUUGGCGGGGGAGCACCACAACAGGUGGAGCCUGCGGUUUAAUUGGAUUCAACGCCGGACAUCUCACCGGAUAAGACAGCUGAAUGAUUGUCAAUCUGAAGGUUUUACAUGACUAGCUG